GACCUUCCAGGUGGCCUAAUGGUUAGAGCAUCUGCCUCGGAAGCGGGAGGUUCGCGGAUUCAAACCCCGGCCAAGUCA